UUCAUGGAGAGUUUGAUCCUGGCUCAGGACGAACGCUGGCGGCGUGCCUAAUACAUGCAAGUCGAGCGGACAGAUGGGAGCUUGCUCCCUGAUGUCAGCGGCGGACGGGUGAGUAACACGUGGGUAACCUGCCUGUAAGACUGGGAUAACUCCGGGAAACCGGGGCUAAUACCGGAUGCUUGAUUGAACCGCAUGGUUCAAUUAUAAAAGGUGGCUUUUAGCU
rnacentral:rRNA from 1 species